ACUAAGCGUACACGGUGGAUGCCCUGGCAGUCAGAGGCGAUGAAGGACGUGCUAAUCUGCGAAAAGCGUCGGUAAGGUGAUAUGAACCGUUAUAACCGGCGAUGUCCGAAUGGGGAAACCCAGUGUGAUUCGUCACACUAUCGUUAACUGAAUACAUAGGUUAACGAGGCGAACCGGGGGAACUGAAACAUCUAAGUACCCCGAGGAAAAGAAAUCAACCGAGAUUCCCCCAGUAGCGGCGAGCGAACGGGGAGCAGCCCAGAGUCUGAAUCAGCUUGUGUGUUAGUGGAACGGUCUGGAAAGUCCGACGGUACAGGGUGAUAGUCCCGUACACCAAAAUGCACAGGUUGUGAACUCGAAGAGUAGGGCGGGACACGUGGUAUCCUGUCUGAAUAUGGGGGGACCAUCCUCCAAGGCUAAAUACUCCUGACUGACCGAUAGUGAACCAGUACCGUGAGGGAAAGGCGAAAAGAACCCCGGCGAGGGGAGUGAAAAAGAACCUGAAACCGUGUACGUACAAGCAGUGGGAGCACCUUCGGGUGUGACUGCGUACCUUUUGUAUAAUGGGUCAGCGACUUAUAUUCUGUAGCAAGGUUAACCGUAUAGGGGAGCCGCAGGGAAACCGAGUCUUAACUGGGCGUUAAGUUGCAGGGUAUAGACCCGAAACCCGGUGAUCUAGCCAUGGGCAGGUUGAAGGUUGGGUAACACUAACUGGAGGACCGAACCGACUAAUGUUGAAAAAUUAGCGGAUGACUUGUGGCUGGGGGUGAAAGGCCAAUCAAACCGGGAGAUAGCUGGUUCUCCCCGAAAGCUAUUUAGGUAGCGCCUCGUGAAUUCAUCUUCGGGGGUAGAGCACUGUUUCGGCUAGGGGGUCAUCCCGACUUACCAACCCGAUGCAAACUACGAAUACCGAAGAAUGUUAUCACGGGAGACACACGGCGGGUGCUAACGUCCGUCGUGAAGAGGGAAACAACCCAGACCGCCAGCUAAGGUCCCAAAGUCAUGGUUAAGUGGGAAACGAUGUGGGAAGGCACAGACAGCCAGGAUGUUGGCUUAGAAGCAGCCAUCAUUUAAAGAAAGCGUAAUAGCUCACUGGUCGAGUCGGCCUGCGCGGAAGAUGUAACGGGGCUAAACCAUGCACCGAAGCUGCGGCAGCGACACUAUGUGUUGUUGGGUAGGGGAGCGUUCUGUAAGCCUGCGAAGGUGUGCUGUGAGGCAUGCUGGAGGUAUCAGAAGUGCGAAUGCUGACAUAAGUAACGAUAAAGCGGGUGAAAAGCCCGCUCGCCGGAAGACCAAGGGUUCCUGUCCAACGUUAAUCGGGGCAGGGUGAGUCGACCCCUAAGGCGAGGCCGAAAGGCGUAGUCGAUGGGAAACAGGUUAAUAUUCCUGUACUUGGUGUUACUGCGAAGGGGGGACGGAGAAGGCUAUGUUAGCCGGGCGACGGUUGUCCCGGUUUAAGCAUGUAGGCUGGUUAUCCAGGCAAAUCCGGAUAAUCAAGGCUGAGGUGUGAUGACGAGGCACUACGGUGCUGAAGUAACAAAUGCCCUGCUUCCAGGAAAAGCCUCUAAGCAUCAGGUAACAUCAAAUCGUACCCCAAACCGACACAGGUGGUCAGGUAGAGAAUACCAAGGCGCUUGAGAGAACUCGGGUGAAGGAACUAGGCAAAAUGGUGCCGUAACUUCGGGAGAAGGCACGCUGGUGUGUAGGUGAAGUCCCUGCGGAUGGAGCUGAGACCAGUCGAAGAUACCAGCUGGCUGCAACUGUUUAUUAAAAACACAGCACUGUGCAAACACGAAAGUGGACGUAUACGGUGUGACGCCUGCCCGGUGCCGGAAGGUUAAUUGAUGGGGUUAUCCGUAAGGAGAAGCUCUUGAUCGAAGCCCCGGUAAACGGCGGCCGUAACUAUAACGGUCCUAAGGUAGCGAAAUUCCUUGUCGGGUAAGUUCCGACCUGCACGAAUGGCGUAAUGAUGGCCAGGCUGUCUCCACCCGAGACUCAGUGAAAUUGAACUCGCUGUGAAGAUGCAGUGUACCCGCGGCAAGACGGAAAGACCCCGUGAACCUUUACUAUAGCUUGACACUGAACAUUGAGCCUUGAUGUGUAGGAUAGGUGGGAGGCUUUGAAGCGUGGACGCCAGUCUGCGUGGAGCCAACCUUGAAAUACCACCCUUUAAUGUUUGAUGUUCUAACGUUGGCCCCUUACCGGGGUUGCGGACAGUGUCUGGUGGGUAGUUUGACUGGGGCGGUCUCCUCCCAAAGCGUAACGGAGGAGCACGAAGGUUAGCUAAUCCUGGUCGGACAUCAGGAGGUUAGUGCAAUGGCAUAAGCUAGCUUGACUGCGAGCGUGACGGCGCGAGCAGGUGCGAAAGCAGGUCAUAGUGAUCCGGUGGUUCUGAAUGGAAGGGCCAUCGCUCAACGGAUAAAAGGUACUCCGGGGAUAACAGGCUGAUACCGCCCAAGAGUUCAUAUCGACGGCGGUGUUUGGCACCUCGAUGUCGGCUCAUCACAUCCUGGGGCUGAAGUAGGUCCCAAGGGUAUGGCUGUUCGCCAUUUAAAGUGGUACGCGAGCUGGGUUUAGAACGUCGUGAGACAGUUCGGUCCCUAUCUGCCGUGGGCGCUGGAGAAUUGAGGGGGGCUGCUCCUAGUACGAGAGGACCGGAGUGGACGCAUCACUGGUGUUCGGGUUGUCAUGCCAAUGGCACUGCCCGGUAGCUAAAUGCGGAAGAGAUAAGUGCUGAAAGCAUCUAAGCACGAAACUUGCCCCGAGAUGAGUUCUCCCUGAGACUUUAAGUCUCCUGAAGGAACGUUAAAGACGAUGACGUUGAUAGGCCGGGUGUGUAAGCGCAGCGAUGCGUUGAGCUAACCGGUACUAAUGAACCGUGAGGCUUAACC
rnacentral:rRNA from 1 species